UACGUAGGGGGCAAGCGUUGUCCGGAUUUAUUGGGCGUAAAGAGCGUGUAGGCGGCCAUACAGGUCAGCUGUGAAAACUCGAGGCUCAACCUCGAGACGUCGGUUGAAACCGUAUGGCUAGAGUCCGGAAGAGGAGAGUGGAAUUCCCGGUGUAGCGGUGAAAUGCGUAGAUAUCGGUAGGAACACCAGUGGCGAAGGCGGUCUCCUGGGGCAUUCUUGACGCUGAGGCGCGAAAGCUGGGGGAGCAAACGGG
rnacentral:rRNA from 1 species